AUGAGAGAUCUCACAGGCAAAGGAGUCAAAGUCACAGACAUGAAUUCAUGUUUUGUGGACUUUAAAUCAGGGAAUUGUUCCUUUAGAAUUCAACGUUGCUUAAAGAUUGCAAGUCGGAAUACAGAAGAUCCAACCUUCCUUGCAAUUUUUUACCCUUUUAUCUUACAACCAGGGAAAAGAUACACAAGUUUAGCUCAGAAGAAAGAAAUCCGUGGUGACUCUGCAGAACAUACCCAAGGUUGUCAUCACUUUGCCAGAAGGCCUGGGUGCUUGGAGAGCAAUAACAAAUCAUCAGCGUUAAUGAUGGGAUGCAGGAAAGGAAGCAAGAAAACAUUUGCCAUAAUAGAUUGGCCUUUCCCCAACCCACAGAUCUUUGCAUUAAAUGAUCCCAUUUUCCUUGAAAGCCUCUUUGUAAAAAAUGGAAAUAAAGCAGAGCCAUUCAGCAUAAUAACAUUAAGAAUGGUACUUAAAAGAGACAAAAUAACACAGCAUGAAAAAACAAAUAAGAUGGUCUCCAAUUUCUUCCAAUAAUCUAGGAUAAACAAUGCCUCUUGUAGUUGUUUAUGAUGCAUUUUUCAAUCUAAAACUCUGCAGGGCAGUUUUAGUAAGAGGCAAGGUUAGAGAGAUAUUUUUAUUUCUACCUAAAUUUGCAUUCAUUUAACAUUCUGCUUUCAUGUACAGAAAUAAUACUGCCUGCUGCUUUAAGUAUAUAAUUUUCUUCAUCCACUCGAUCUCUUGACUACAGUGUGCAAUUGUUUUAGAAAGAAAAUGUGUUAAAAUGUUUAUUUGCUAAUUAUCCCUCUUCACAGAAGUACACUUAUAUGAAAUCUAGAAUCCUAAUAAAAUACAAUUCUUCAAUCCAGAAAUCUACAGAACAAGUGUGUGUGUGUGUGUGUGACCAUCACUGGAACAAUACAGGUUAUUCUUUUCCUCUGGACUGAGUCUAAUUUAGUUCUUUGGGUCUUACUUCUAAAUAGAGACACACAUAACUAGGAAAAGAGUCUGUUUUGCAAAACAACUCCUAGAAUCCCACCGCUACCACGUUCAUUGGCCAUGAUGGCUAUGGAAUACCAGUAGUCUCCAAAUGUCAUUCUUCCAAGCUUUGGAAAUUUGCUCUUAAUCAGUGGUUUUCAACCUUCCUAAUGCUGCGACCCCUUAAUACAGUUCCUCAUGUUACAGUGAUCACCAACCCUAAAAUUAUUUUUGUUGCUCCUUCAUAGCUGUAAUUUUGCUAUUGUUAUGAAUUUUAAUGUAAACAUCUGAUAUGCAGGAUGUAAGUUCAUUCACCGGACCAAAUUUGGAACAAAUACCCGAUAUGCCCAUAUUUAAAUAGUGGUAGGGCUGGGGGGGGGGGGUUGAUUUUGUCAUUUGGGAGUUGUCGUUGCUGGGAUUUAUAGUUCGGCUACAAUCAAAGAGCAUUAUGAACUCCACCAACAAUAGAAUUGAAUCAAACUUGGCACACAGAACUCCCCAUGACCAACAGAAAAUACUGGAAGUGUUUGCUGGGCCCUGACCUUGAAUUUUGGAGUUGUAGUUCACCUACAUCCAGAGACCACUGUGGACUCAAACAAUGAUGGAUCUGGACCCAACAUAACAAGAAUACUCAAUGUGACCAAAUGUGAACAUUGGUGGAGUUUGCGGAAAAUAGACCCUAACAUUUGGGAGUUGUAGUUGCUGAGAUUUAUAGUUCACCUACAAUCAAAGAGCAUUCCGAACUCCACCAAUAAUGGAGUUGAACCAAACUUGGCACACAGAACUCCCAUGACCAACAGAAAAUACUGGAAGGGUUUGGUCGGCAUUGACCUUGAGUUUUGGAGUUGUAGUUCACCUAUAGCCAGUCUUCUCUGCCAAAGGGGUUCCUAAGACCAUCAGAAAUAUGUGUUUUCUGAUGGUCUUUGUCGACCCCUCUGACACCCCCCUCAUGACCCCCCCAGGGCUCCCAACCCCCACAUUGAUUUAGUUCAAAUUAAUUCCAAAGCAGGUAACUUCCGCUAGGCUUGCAAAUGCCUUCCAGCUGUAAUUGUCCUCUUCCAUGCCCCUCUGACAAAGAUAUUUUCCAUAGAAGGCAUCACUGCCUUCAUCCUGGCUCUCAAGUAAAAAUGUGUCUGUUAUGUUAUACUGGCCAAAUAUGAGUCACAGAAUGCUUUACUUGGAAUUUUGCUUGGCUGUCAGUUCUCUUCCAAUGCUUCCCAAGAAUGUAGCUAGUUCAGUGUUGCUCUCUAAAUAACUUCUCUGUCCUUACAAGGUGUUUCCAUAAAAUCUAUUUAAUUUCUGUUGAUAAAUUGGAGUCUUUGUCCCUUUCAGCACUUCACAAUCAGUGACGUGCUGGAUUUUUCAUUUGAAAAUUUAGCCCUGUCCCAUUUCUGGCCUUUAGAAAUCCACAAUCUCUGUGCUG
ensembl:lncRNA